CCUACGGGAGGCAGCAGUAAGGAAUCUUGCGCAAUGGGCGAAAGCCUGACGCAGCGACGCCGCGUGCAGGAUUAAGGCCUUCGGGUUGUAAACUGCUUUUAAGAGGGAAGAAGGAUGUGACGGUACCUCUUGAAUAAGCCCCGGCUAACUACGUGCCAGCAGCCGCGGUAAUACGUAGGGGGCGAGCGUUGUCCGAAUUUACAGGGCGUAAAGCGCGCGUAGGCGGGCCCUUAAGUUGGGGGUGAAAUCUCAGGGCUCAACCCUGAAACUGCCCUCAAAACUGGUGGUCUUGAGGCACGCAGAGGGAAGUGGAAUUCCUGGUGUAGCGGUGAAAUGCGUAGAUAUCAGGAGGAACACCCGUGGCGAAGGCGGCUUUCUGGGCGUGGCCUGACGCUGAGGUGCGAAAGCCAGGGGAGCGAACGGGAUUAGAUACCCCUGUAGU
rnacentral:rRNA from 1 species